rnacentral:rRNA from 1 species
GUGGGGAAUAUUGGACAAUGGGGGGAACCCUGAUCCAGCCAUGCCGCGUGUGUGAAGAAGGCCUUUUGGUUGUAAAGCACUUUAAGCGAGGAGGAGGCUACCGAGAUUAAUACUCUUGGAUAGUGGACGUUACUCGCAGAAUAAGCACCGGCUAACUCUGUGCCAGCAGCCGCGGUAAUACAGAGGGUGCAAGCGUUAAUCGGAUUUACUGGGCGUAAAGCGCGCGUAGGUGGCCAAUUAAGUCAAAUGUGAAAUCCCCGAGCUUAACUUGGGAAUUGCAUUCGAUACUGGUUGGCUAGAGUAUGGGAGAGGAUGGUAGAAUUCCAGGUGUAGCGGUGAAAUGCGUAGAGAUCUGGAGGAAUACCGAUGGCGAAGACAGCCAUCUGGCCUAAUACUGACACUGAGGUGCGAAAGCAUGGGGAGCAAACAGGAUUAGAAACCCGAGUAGUCC